rnacentral:rRNA from 1 species
AUGGACAUGAAUGGCGUGAAACAGGUGCCACCAAAGUACGUACUUGAGUGUUGGUCUUGGAAUACAGAUGAAGCACUCUGCCCGCAUGGCUCACAGCAAGUACUCACGGAGCAUGAAGAUGGGCCCAACACAACUAUGGAGACAGUCAGGCGUGUGGUGAUGACAAGGAGAUUUACCAACAUAGCAAAUGAUGCUUGCAAAAAUGAUGUGAUGAGUAGAGCAGUUGAGAGGCAUACAAACAUGAUAGGAAGAGAACUGGACUCAAUCAAGAAGAGAAUGGAGGAGGAGGCACUACAUCGAUUCCCCAAAAAAACAAGACUGCUCCUACUACGUCAACAGGGCCAUCGACGGAAAACUCGGAAGUUAGUUCCGGCGCAUCCAACACGCACACGCACAUGGGGAACCCUCCAAGGAAAGUCACUAAAGGGCGUCCAAAACAGAUAA